rnacentral:rRNA from 1 species
GAUGAACGCUAGCUACAGGCUUAACACAUGCAAGUCGAGGGGUAACGAGAGGAAAGCUUGCUUUCCUUGUCGACGACCGGCGCACGGGUGAGUAACGCGUAUCCAACCUGCCCCCAACUAGGGAAUAACCUUGCGAAAGUAAGACUAAUACCCUAUAAUUUCCUCAGAUGUCAUCUGACGAGGAAUAAAGAUUUAUCGGUUGUGGAUGGGGAUGCGUCUGAUUAGCUUGUUGGCGGGGUAACGGCCCACCAAGGCAACGAUCAGUAGGGGUUCUGAGAGGAAGGUCCCCCACAUUGGAACUGAGACACGGUUCAAACUCCUACGGGAGGCAGCAGUGAGGAAUAUUGGUCAAUGGGCGGAAGCCUGAACCAGCCAAGUAGCGUGCAGGAUGACGGCCCUAUGGGUUGUAAACUGCUUUUAUACAGGAAUAAAGUUAGCCACGUGUGGUUAUUUGUAGGUACUGUAUGAAUAAGGACCGGCUAAUUCCAUGCCAGCAGCCGCUGUAA